rnacentral:rRNA from 1 species
AGGAUGAACGCUAGCGGCAGGCUUAACACAUGCAAGUCGAGGGGUAGAAGUCUUCGGGCUUUGAGACCGGCGCACGGGUGCGUAACGCGUAUGCAAUCUGCCUUACACUAAGGGAUAGCCCAGAGAAAUUUGGAUUAAUACCUUAUAGUAUAUUUAUGUGGCAUCACAUGAUUAUUAAAGAUUUAUCGGUGUAAGAUGAGCAUGCGUCCCAUUAGCUAGUUGGUAUGGUAACGGCAUACCAAGGCUAUGAU